CAGCCGCCGCGGUAAUACGUAGGGUGCAAGCGUUAAUCGGAAUUACUGGGCGUAAAGCGUGCGCAGGCGGUUUCUUAAGUCUGAUGUGAAAGCCCCCGGCUCAACCGGGGAGGGUCAUUGGAAACUGGGAAACUUGAGUGCAGAAGAGGAGAGUGGAAUUCCACGUGUAGCGGUGAAAUGCGUAGAGAUGUGGAGGAACACCAGUGGCGAAGGCGACUCUCUGGUCUGUAACUGACGCUGAGGAGCGAAAGCGUGGGGAGCGAACAGGAUUAGAUACCCCGGUAGUCCCUGUCUCUUAUAC
rnacentral:rRNA from 1 species